rnacentral:lncRNA from 1 species
AGUCAGCGGGCUGGUUGAAGUGCUGACUGACCAGUUCCUUCCUUCACUGCCAGACCUAAAAUCCAGACACAGACACCAACAGACACUCCAGGCUGCCCCUGUGUGUGUGUUAGCUUGUGGUGAGUGAUAAAAGGCAGGGAACACAACGUGGCUGCUGCUGCUGCUGCUACGCCUACGCAGACGACUCUUGGCCCAUCGUUUAAAACAAUUCCAGGGGGUAAGCAAGGGGCCGUGGGCUACCACAGAUGCAUGCAAAAUUGAGAGUUGUGUAGAGAGAGAGAGAGAGAUAGAGAGGAGAGUGGGUAGGGCGGCGAGCGCUCGACUCUGGGCAAGGUGUAAUUGAAUGAAGGUGAGCGCACGUCGAGAAUUAUCUAUUCCAGCUUGACUGUAGCGCAUCCAACUUUCGCCUAGGCCCACCCUCACUCCCACACACUCUCUUUUCCCGUCUCUCCUUCCUGCCUACCUUGUGUUUCUCUCUUUUGUUGGCUUCUUGUUUUUGCUUCUCUCUCUCUCUCUCUCUCUCUCUCUCUCUCUUGCUUUGCGCUCAGCACACUCUCGUAAAAUCCUUGAACGAGAUCAUCAAUCUUGCUUUGUUGUACUUCCAUCGUGGCUUCACUCCCCCUCCUAUGCCCAUUCCCUCCCUGUGCCUUUUUUGCCUUUGUUUUUGCUUUCCUCUCUUUUUUGGUGUCCCGCCUUUUUUGUAUGUCAUUUGCCAUGGACGCCCCACUCCCUAAAUCGAGCACGAGUAUUCCACGCUUUUUGUUCUUUACGUUAUUUAUGCCACCCAGCCUCUCCCCCAAGCAGACGGAGGGACAGCGACCGGUGCCAGCGGCAAAAACUGCAAUCACUUUUUGCUGUUGGUUUUUGUCAGUUUUUGUGCGGAUUUCACUUUUUUAGUCAUUUCCAUUUAUUUUAUUUGCAAUUUAGAGCCCCCGCCACACGUCCUCCUUGUCCACCCACAAAUGGGAAAGAGCCAGCAGAGAGCAAGAAGCAGAGAGCGAAGGAAAGAGCGCAAAAAGAGUGGGUGAGUGAGAGCGAAGAGCCAGCAAGGCACUGGAGAAGUUUUUGGUUGCAUUUCAUUUCGGUCUUUUUUUCUUUGCUGUUGUAUUUGCUAUGUUAGUGUACUCUGUUUGUGUGUGUGAUGCAAUGACCUCGAACUUCGUUUGCCCAUCGCUGCAUCUUGAAGAUCUUUUUUUUCCUACUACAAGUACGAGUAUACCCUUGAAGAGAGAGGGUACAGUGCGUCGUGUGGUUGAAAUGUUUGGCAAGCAGGGAAAGUGGGAUUUGAAUAAGUAACAUAUUAUUGAUGUAGAAAUUAAUAAUUCAUAAUUAAUACG